AUCCACACUCCAAAUGAGAGCUUAUCAGGCAUCUUCCUCUCUAUUCACGCUCCAAACCUUUUUCCUCAGCGCCUUCAUCCACCGCAUUCUUCCAUCAUCAACACCUUUGGGACUUCCAUCACUCUCGUCGUCGUCAAUCAUCGCUGUUCCUGUCCUGUCCCUUCUCUUCCCCUCUUUUACGAGGAUAAACCAUAAUUCUCCUUCAAUGACUUUUUCUUCUCUUCAAACUUAACACCGAUUAGACUGGCAGUGAGGAUGAUGGCCUUUUGGAUUUGAGUGAAGAUGAUUUUUUCCUCGCUGGGAGUUCUAGUGAUGAAGCAGAUGCAGAUGAUGAAUGGACAGACAAAAGUAUGACGUGGGUAGAGAUGUUUUACAACUUAAGCAGUUAUUAUAUUAUGAAAAUUCAUAUACUCGCAGCAAGGUAAACGAUGUUAAGAAGAGCAACUGGAGUAUACCUGUUUGUGAUGCUAGUAUGGUCAAAUUGAAGCCAGUAAAUGGGUGUCAAUGAGUGGUCAAAUUGUUGAUGCUAGUAUGGUCAAAUUGAAGCAAGAUUCACUAAUUAACAAACAAGAACAUGGAGUGGUGGGUGUCAAUGCCAAAGGUGGAGUUGCAUGCUCAUCUCAAUGGAUCCAUUCACUAAUUAACAAACAAGAACAUGGUAACAUUUUUAAUUUAAUCACACUUUUUUUUAAUUUAUUUUAAUAAUUUAAUUUAAUAAUUUUUAAUAAUUUUUAAUUUAAUUUAAUUUAAUCACACUAUUUUAAUUUUAAUCACACAUGCCAAAGGUGUCAAUGCUCAUUUAAUUACGUUGGUAGUGAAGUCUAUGCUGGUGAUGAUGUGGUUACACUGCUUAUGCCUUGGUUAAGGAAGCUUAUUAAAUAUUGUUUUGUGCAAGGAAGCUUAUUAAAUAUUGUUUUGUUAGGCACUAAAAACCAGUAACUAUGGUUCUGAACCUAUGCUUCAAAAUUAUGGAAUUUCUAUAAGCACCGGCUUUACUCAAGUGGAUGGUCGUGUUCUGCCUUCACCAAGUGUAUUUAAUAUUUCUUUUGUCAUUGUGCUCUUGAAACUUGUUUAUUGUGUGCUGCCUUGUUGUUCUAUUUGAACUUGGUGACCUGAGGUUUUCUUAAUUAUGACUUGGAAGGUCCCUGAAGAAUAUAGUACUAAAUUUGAUGUAUCUUCUAUUUUAAAGGUAUAAAAUUCUAAUUCUUCCUCAUAUUAAUCAUCUAAAUGUUAGUAGUUAUUAACACAUAAGUUUUCUUGUUGAACUGGUGGCAGAGGUGUAGGCCUUUACUAGUUGUUACUAGCUGUGACAUUCUCAUUUAAACUCUGCAUUCUGAAUUACAAUUCAAAAUUGGUCAUUAGUUAUUGUUCCAAAGAACUCAUGACUUAUUCUCCAAUCAAAUACUAUCAUUUUUAUCUCAUGUAGAAUCUUUCUUUUUUGGUUUCUGUUUUGAUUUCCUUACUUUUAGUUUUAAGAGUGAAAAAGGCGACAUUGUUGGAAAUUGAAACAGAACCAAAAUACACUCAUGAUUUAUCAUAAACCUCUCUAUACAUAUCAUGGUGUAAAGUGCAAGGAUGACUAUAUUUUGUUAUGUAUAUAUUGUUCUAAAGGAAAAUGUUGAUUAAAUAGUUCUAACUUUAUAUAUUAGAGAUUUGGCGAUUGAUUAGGUCCAAAAGGUAGGAUAAUCAGCGAUAUUUUUGUUAAGUACUUAUUUAAUUUAAUAAAAGUACUGUGUUACAAGAUUGAAUGAACGUGUGGUGCUAAGUUGGUAAGUUCAAUGUUCAAUUGAAUUUGAAUUCUAAGAAAAAAGGUACAGUGUUUCUUUUACUAUAGGGUAGUGUUUCUUCUCUGAGACUGAUAUUCUCUUUUCCAGAAAAAAGAAACUUCUUUUGGAACAGAAUGGACCACAUGUUGCAAAAAUCUCAGUGUCUGUUCACUCAAAAUGAUCAAAAGAUGUACAACGUGGGAUAGCAAUGCUUGAAAGUGGCUCCAAAUUUCCUUACC